UACGAAGGGGGCUAGCGUUGUUCGGAAUUACUGGGCGUAAAGCGCGCGCAGGCGGUCUUCCAAGUCAGUGGUGAAAGCCCGGAGCUCAACUCCGGAACUGCCAUUGAAACUGUGAGACUUGAGUACGAGAGAGGUGAGUGGAAUUCCCAGUGUAGAGGUGAAAUUCGUAGAUAUUGGGAAGAACACCGGUGGCGAAGGCGGCUCACUGGCUCGUAACUGACGCUCAGGCGCGACAGCGUGGGGGAUCAAACAGG
rnacentral:rRNA from 1 species